ACCUGUGUGGGACCAGUCUGUGUGCGCAGGUGGAGUAAGGAGAUGGAGGUUUUUUGGGGGUGAUGGUUGACUCGUCUUCUCACACAAACAUCCACAUUCAUUCCCUCAGUUGCUUCCACAGUGCACUGAAAUGCAUGGUGCACAAAGCGGGCCAGCGCAUGAAUUUAAAUGUCAAGUGCACUUGAGCGGGCAGCUGGCUCUGCACAUUUGUGCCGCGCUCUCUUCGCUCCGCUGGAAGCCGUGCAUCGAAGGCAGAGUUUAUUUCUGCAGACCGGUGUGACAUUUCAUGUCUCAGAGGCAGCAAAAUAUCCCCCAGACCCUGGGAGGAGGAGUCCUACAAGAGGGGCGCGGAUACACGAGGGUGCUGCAGUAAACUUUCAUGCCCAGCAUCUGUGGAAAAGAGGACUUCCGAGGUCCAGCAGUGAGAUGCUGGCAGUAUUGAUCCUGGUUUGGCCUCAAACAGAAACAAACCUGCUGACGAGAGCAAAGACGUGACGCCGAGGAGUUACCACUGAACUUUAUUAGAGCUUUAUUAUGAAGGAGAACGCAUGAACAUACGUUACACCAUCUGACUCUGAACUUCUCACAGACUUUCAGAGCUAAAGCAUCCAGUCAGCAGGCAGAGGUACGCCUACAGGCUCCGCCCACACUAACCAAUAAAACUGUGACCAGCAGUGAGCUGGCUCGUUUGGCAGCACUGCUGUGACAUAAAUG